UACAGAGACUGCAAGCGUUAUUCGGAUUCACUGGGCGUAAAGGGUGCGCAGGCGGCCAAGUGUGUGAGGCGUGAAAGCCCGAUGCUCAACAUCGGAAUUGCACCUCAAACUACAUGGCUAGAGCAUUGGAGAGGGUAGCGGAAUUCACGGUGUAGCAGUGAAAUGCGUAGAUAUGUGGAAGAACACCGGUGGUGAAGACGGUUUACUGGGCUGAGACUGACGCUGAGGCGCGAAAGCAUGGGGAGCGAACAGG
rnacentral:rRNA from 1 species